rnacentral:rRNA from 1 species
GAUGAACGCUGACAGAAUGCUUAACACAUGCAAGUCUUUGGCGAAGCUGUGCUUGCACAGCCUAGCCAGGGCGGACGGGUGAGUAACGCGUAAGGAACUUGCCCUGCAGUCAGGGAUAACAGACGCAAACGACUGAUAAGACCUGGUAAAGUCAGGCGGACUCAUGUCCAGCCUGAUGAAAAGAGAUGCUGCAGGAGAGCCUUGCGUCCUAUUAGCUUGUUGGGGGGGGAACGGCCCACCAAGGCGAUGUUAGGUAGCCGGCCUAGGAGGGGGGACGGCCGCAGGGGGGCGGGAAUGCGCCCUUUCCUCCGGGGGGAGGCAGCGGGGGGGAAUUUUGGACGGGGGGGCAACCCUGAUACAGCAGUUCUGUGUGCAAGAUGAAGGUUUUCGGAUUGUAAAGUGCUUUCAGCAGGGAAGAAGAAAAUGACGGUAACUGCAGAAGAAGCGACGGCUAAAUACGUG